GGCCAAACUGACCUUAAGUGUUCUUUCAAUUUGCUUGGCCUCGUGGGAGAAGAAGAUGGGCAGAUAACUAAUUAAUAGAUUUAUUUUGAUGAUGAAAUAUGAUUUUUUUAAUAUAAUAAAUUUCAAUAUUGGUUCAAGUUAGAAUACAUUCAAGCUCGAUAAUUUCAUUGACUAAAGAGAAUGUUGAGAUGGUUUUAGAUGAUGUGAGGUUGAGUUGAAUAGAAUGUAUGCAGUCAUGUACGAGAUUGAGGGCCUCCUCUUUGAAUUGUCCACUUGAGAUCUAGGGAAAGAGUUGUCUUGGAGUUAGGGUGGGCCACCGUCGUCAAGGCGACGUGGAAAAUGAUCGUGAUUUAUUGAAUAGAGGAGAGAAGGGACACAAAGCCGUCUACCUGAGAUCUGGAAAAGAAUUUGAUUUUAGGUAAGGAUAGGCC
rnacentral:lncRNA from 1 species